rnacentral:pre_miRNA from 1 species
AGGAGGAACAGCCACAGUGGUGCAGGCUGGCUCUGGAGCCCUGGAUUCAGCUCCCACAGUAACUAUGGAGCUCAGUCUGCAGGGGUCUGGAUGCUCUGGGGGCAG